UCCGAGUUGACCCCGGCAGUCUCCUAUGAGUCCCCACCAUUGCGUGCUGGCAACAUAGGACGAGGGUUGCGCUCGUUGCGGGACUUAACCCAACAUCUCACGACACGAGCUGACGACAACCAUGCACCACCUGUGAACCAGCCCCAAAGGGGAAACCGUGUUUCCACGGCGGUCUGGCACAUGUCAAGCCUUGGUAAGGUUCUUCGCGUUGCAUCGAAUUAAUCCGCAUGCUCCGCCGCUUGUGCGGGCCCCCGUCAAUUCCUUUGAGUUUCAGUCUUGCGACCGUACUCCCCAGGCGGAGUGCUUAAUGUGUUGACUUCGGCACAGCAGGGGUCGAUACCCACUACACCAAGCACUCAUCGUUUACGGCGUGGACUAC
rnacentral:misc_RNA from 1 species